rnacentral:rRNA from 1 species
GAUGAACGCUGGCGGCGUGCUUAACACAUGCAAGUCGAGCGAGAAGUUUUGAAAAGAUUCUUCGGAUGAAAUUUAAAAUGGAAAGCGGCGGACGGGUGAGUAACGCGUAGGCAACCUGCCCCAUACAAAGGGAUAGCAUUUGGAAACGAAAAUUAAUACCUUAUGAAACUUAACUAGUGCAUGCUAGGUAGGUCAAAGAUUUAUCGGUAUGGGAUGGGCCUGCGUCUGAUUAGCUAGUUGGUGAGGUAACGGCUCACCAAGGCGACGAUCAGUAGCCGACCUGAGAGGGUGAACGGCCACAUUGGAACUGAGACACGGUCCAAACUCCUACGGGAGGCAGCAGUGGGGAAGAUUGCACAAUGGGGGAAACCCUGAUGCAGCAACGCCGCGUGAACGAUGAAGGCCUUUGGGUCGUAAAGUUCUGUUCUAGGUGAUGAAAACUGACAGUAGCCUAGGAGAAAGCCCCGGCUAACUCCGUG